AGCAACUUCUUUCAAACCAUGAAGGAGAUGCUCAGCAGAAUGCUGGAUAGCCUGGAUUAACAGUUAAUGUGUUUGUGUUGGUAAGAGUUUGGGAAAACAAGUUUCAGAAAUGGGCACCAAUCUUCAGUAAUAGUGUGAGUGCAUAGAGUAAACAUCACAGAUAACUGACUGUGUGGCUGGAGCAGAUGGAACCUUUUAUAGCACCAGCUGAGACAAGGUGGGAACACUGCUUUUGCAGGCCUGGAAAGAAGGAAAACACUCUUCUUUUGCUUCUGUAGAAGAGCAACUAUUGUGUUCUCUAUCAUGUCCCUCUCAGGCUCCACUUGAACUCCCCAAAGGACUGUUUGGCAGUACAGAAGCUUUGGUUUAUUUAAUACAGAAGGACCUUUCUUCUUCUUCACCAAUAAUGUUUUGAUCUUAGCUGGGAUUGAGAAGUGCUUCUUCAUUCAUUACGACUACUUGGCAGUGACAUAAAGACAUCCAGUGUUUAGCAGGUCUUCUGAAUGUACAUUGCUUGGAAAGAAAGCUGUGCUUCUUCAUGUAUAAACAUCUCUUAGUCCUGUGAUGCCUGAACAGCUGUGUGUGUUCAAGCUUCAUCCCUUAAUGUACCUCUUCACAAAACUCAAAUUGUACCACUUAUGAAGGGUGGAAUUGCUUUUCUUUGACCAUGCCACUUGGAUCUUGUACUCAGUUUUGUUCUGUUGUUUCUUUUUUUGAUGAUGUUGGGAGCUGUAAACAGCACUAAUGGCAAGAAGAAUGUCUACUGUGGUUCCCAGUUUUAUGUCUGACAGGCUACUCUUGAUGGGUCCAUAAAACAUUUAGUCUAUUUGGUUCACUGUCUGAAGUAGAUAAAACAUAAAAACCUGA